ACUUGGAUUACGCGGAUCAGAAAGGUGUAUAAUUCCAGAAAACGGAGUUUCUUUAUAUCAAAGUUCGCAAAUCCCCGAAAAUAUUUUGUGCAGAGGCUGUGGAAGUCAAACGUCUUCGGCUAAUUUCAUAAUAUCCAAAUUAAGCCCGUCCUCACACUAUGCAUUCCAUGACACGUUGUUCAAUAGAGAAAUGGUUCUUGUACAAGUAGUAUCACACGAUAUCAUUUUUCAAUUCCCUGUGAUAACUACCACUCAAUCUACAUGUCAAGGUUAUGGGGAGUUAGAGAUUCAUUGGUCAAGUUACCAGCUGACUUCUAAGGACCAUGGCUACCUCGGAGCAUUUAUCUGAUCAAGACAAACAAUUUUUAGCCAGUUGCGAGGAAGAACUAAAAGAUAGAUAUACAGAAAAUGAUGAAGCAUUUAUGAAAGUUUUUAAAGCGGAGCCGAGUCCACCGCCUAUUAUAGAAUCAUGGUGGGUGCCGAAUAACGGCGGGCGGCGGAACGACCGGCGCUUCAACCGCCGCAGCCAGCCGUACUCGCGCGACGGCCGCGACGGGCGGGACGGGCGCGACCACGGCCGCGGCCGGUACGACCACUCCCGCUCCUACGACGACAGGAGCUACGGCCACCACAGCAAUCGCCCACGCCAUUACUAGCUCACUUUUGUUUAAUCAUUCAUAAAUGUUCAUCCAUAUAUUAUGUAUUACUGAAUAAAAAUAAUAAAUAAAUA